rnacentral:lncRNA from 1 species
UUUUUUUUUUUUUUUUUUUUUUUUUUACAUAAAAAAGACACCAGUUCUCUCUUGAUGUUUAUUAGUAACUGUGAUUCCUUUUGGUCUUAGAUUAGUUUGAGAAGGAAAAAAAUUUUCAGAGAUAUAUAAGUGUAUCUGUACAAAUUUAAAUUCUAGUUCACAGAGGAAAACUUUGCAAAAGGCACUGAUUCAACCUAACAAUCUAGACUAAUCCUGAGACUCCUCUUCUUUUGACAUCUAGGUUGCUAGUGGGGCAGAGGAGACAGAAAUUAGCCCUGUGGUUUAACAGCCACCAGGUAACAGCACAACGUAGGUGACAGGAGCACAAGUGCUUGAAGUCCUAGAGUUCCAGGCUCAAACUCAGUUCUGUCCCUCUAGACAAAAUAAUUUACCUUCAACGUGACUUAAGUUCUUAAUUUUGUAUUUCACAAAAUAGAGGUGACACCUUAUAGUCUCUCUGUGAAGACUGAAUGAGAUGCAGUUCAGGUACUUUCAUUCAUGUUAGCACAAUCGUACUGUCCAAUGUUCCCCCAAAGGGACAAGAGAAAGCUCAGGCCCUCUGACAAGGAACAAGAAGCUUCUUUAAGGAAGCUCCAGCUCUCACAGUCAAAAUAACUCUGUCUGUAUGCUAGAUAGUGUCCUAACAUUUUCACAAAAUGUACCUUGCUUUUGCUUGAGAUGAGAGCGAAAUCUGGAAGGAACCAAAAAAAAAAAAAGUUUGACCAUUUAAAAUCUGCGCAGGAAGAGAUGCCAAGAUGUUAGCAGGAUCCAGAGUGGUUCCAAUCCGCCAUCUAGUGGACAAGAAGGGAAAGGACAAACUUAGAGCAAGAUCACUGAUCUUAAGAUUUCGUGGAUGUCUGUAGUUUUCAGAAAAGUAUUUUCUGUUCAAUGUAAUUCAAACUCCCUACUGAAUUUGCUUACUAAUAGAUUCAUUUAACUUUUAUAAAGUAAAACAACCCAGUAUUCUAAACAUUAAGCACUAAAACUAAAUUCCCUAAAAUGUUUAUAUUUACAAAUUUUGAGUUUUGAAGAUUGUUUGAAGAGAGAAUGCUCUUGAGUUCUUACCAUCAUGAGUUUUUCUGGCCCACCAUUCCCAUUUAUAUUAUCCAUCUCUAUUUAUUUGGUACUCUGCAUUUAUUUUGGCACAUAGACUAGGAGUAGCUAGAGCUUGUUCAUAUUAUGUCUUUCCCAAAACACUGACCGAAAUCACUGGGGGAAGUAAGAUUAUUCUAUUAAUUUUUCAAAAAUGUACACCAACUUAAAAUGCUGGUGUAGCCAAUAUGAACAUUUGUUAAGGUCUAAGUGCUUGAAUUAGUUUUUUGCUGAUUUAUGUACGCACAUAUUUUCUCUUUUUAUUUCUAAGGUCAUUUCCUUAAGUGUCUAUGAGGAUUUCCGUUUUGUCUAGGGUGAAGACAUUGGCAGCCAAAUCUCCCCAAAAAGUUAGUGACUGGAGAAUACCUGAAGUGGCCAGUGCUGUUUUGAGAUAUAAUAUAUAUAUUUUAAAUUCAAAAAAUAAAUAAAUAAAUUCUUGUUACUACUAACAAUAAUAGCAGGUGCUAUUUAUUGAACUGCUAUGAUGUGCCAGGCAUGCUAAUGUUCUUGAUGCACAUAGUGUUAAUCCUCUCACUCUCUAAAAUAGAUAUGGUUAUCUUCACUAUGGAUGAAAAACUGAUGCUUGUGACCCACUGGGCAAAAUCCUGACUGUGCCAAAUAAUCACUGACUGGUUGAACCCUUCAAGGCAUUUUCAUCCCUAGAGAAUGAAAAAUUUUGACUAAGGCCUAUUCUCUAAGGUUGUGCCUGAUUUAAGAGCUCCUUUCCUGGGAGCUGCGGGGCUUCCAGAGUGAAAAAGAUUUUGUCUUGCCACCGACUGGCCCAGGGUCUUAUGGGAGACAUAACCCCAAGGGCACAGAGUGGGAUGGUAUUGUAUGCUAGAGCCCAUGCCCUGGAAGGGACAUCGUGGCAGGCACCUAUGGGACCUCCCACAAAACACCUUCUGCACUCUGUCCUUGUCUUCUUUCUCUGUUCUGCCUUUCCCGAGUCCCUACCAUUUUCCUUCUGGUUCUCUUUAUUUUCUUUCUCCUUCUGCCCUACCCUAGAAGGGUGCUUUUUUUAAACUAUGGGUUUUAAACCAUUAGUAGGCCAAAAAAAUCGACUCAGUAUGUAUAGGCCAGCAUUAGAAAAAAAUGAAAUUAGGGAUACUUGGGUGGCUCAGUCAGUUAAGUGUGUCUUCAGCUCAGGUCAUGAUCCCAGGGUUCUGGGAUGGAGCCCUGCAUCAGGCUCCCUGCUCAGUGGAGAGCCUGCUUCACCUUCUCCCUCUGCCACUAUGUCCUGCUUGUGCUCUCUCUCUCUGUGAAAUAAAAUCUUUAAGAAAACUUUUUUAUUGCAAUUACACAAUUCAAACUCUUAAGGGCAUCACUCGUAAGGAGGGUAAUAUGCUUUUUUAAAUUUAAUUUCAUUUUUAGUUUAAUUAAAAAAAUUUUAAUUCCAGUGUAGUUAACAUACAGUGCUUUAUUAGUCUCAAGGGUACAAUACAGUAAUCCAACAGCUGUAGACAUUAUUCAGCGCUAAUCAAGACAAGCUCACUCCUAUCUCUGAGGAUAAUGUUCUGUGUAAAACCUGUUUUAAUAUGUAUCCCUGUGUUUGCCUAUACACUGGGUCAAGAUGUAAACUUUCUAUCUUAAGACAUUAGGAAAACAUUGCCCUAAAGUGGAGGCCUCCUCUCUUACCUGUGGAAUUGCCAGGAAGGCCACAAGCACUUGACAGUCGCCAGCAGGGAGGUGGCAUCCGGGGACUGUCAGCGCUGGGAGGAUCAUCUCUCUCCAGGCUUAGGCAGAUCCUUCCUGAAGGCAGGGAAUGGCCCAGAUGACCCCGAAAUGCUGCAGUCUACCCGUGGCCGAGUGUGUGAGGUCCUCUGCGCCAGCCCUGUGCCUGGCUGAGGGUCCCCGUCCCCUCCCGCUGGGCCCACAGGAGAGGGGAAAGCAGCCACCAGUGCCUGGUCAUCAUUUUGCCCCAGGUGCCACUUACCUGUGGAGUGGCUGGGACCGGCUGUCAGGUCUCUCAGGUGCAGCAUCGUCCCCCAGCCUGGGGGACGGCCCCACGCCUGGCUUUGCAGCGGGUGGCCCUGGGGUCCCCGGCCCACGCCCACCCCCACGCCCACCCCUCGGCCUUGUGUGGGGCACUGAGGCCACGAAGCCCUUGUGUUCAGGUGUGAUGAGGGCAUGUGAGCGUGCCACUUGAUGGGAGACGUUGGCAAACUAAAUUAAAAAAUAAUAAUAAAAUAACUUUCUUUGUACCCCCCAAAACAAACAAACAAACAAACAAGAACGAGGAAAGAACAGUAAGAGGACUCGUCGGCCGCGGCUCCUCCGACUCUCCCUGGAGCCUC